AUGAAAUGGUGGAUAUAGGAUCUGAAUAACUCAAUAGAUUGUGUGUUGUCUAUCAGCUUUUACCCUCAAAAUUUCACGGGUUUAGAGUUAAAUAACAGCACUAGAUUU